GACGAACGCUGGCGGCGUGCUUAACACAUGCAAGUCGAACGAUGAAAUGGAGCUUGCUCCAUGGAUUAGUGGCGAACGGGUGAGUAACACGUGAAUAACCUGCCCUUAAUUUUGGAAUAACCCAGGGAAACCUGGGCUAAUACCGGAUAAGUAAACCUGUGGCAUCACAUGGUUUUGGAAAGUUUUUCGAUUAAGGAUGGAUUCGCGGCCUAUCAGCUUGUUGGUGAGGUAAUGGCUCACCAAGGCGACGACGGGUAGCCGGCCUGAGAGGGUGAACGGCCACACUGGGACUGAGACACGGCCCAGACUCCUACGGGAGGCAGCAGUGGGGAAUAUUGCGCAAUGGACGAAAGUCUGACGCAGCGACGCCUCGUGAGGGACGAAGGUCUUCGGAUUGUAAACCUCUUUCGGCAGGGACGAAGCGAAAGUGACGGUACCUGCAGAAGAAGCACCGGCUAACUAUGUGCCAGCCGCCGCAGUAA
rnacentral:rRNA from 1 species